GAUGAACGCUGGCGGCGUGCCUAAUACAUGCAAGUCGAGCGAACGGACGAGAAGCUUGCUUCUCUGAUGUUAGCGGCGGACGGGUGAGUAACACGUGGAUAACCUACCUAUAAGACUGGGAUAACUUCGGGAAACCGGAGCUAAUACCGGAUAAUAUUUUGAAGCGCAUGGUUCAAAAGUGAAAGACGGUCUUGCUGUCACUUAUAGAUGGAUCCGCGCUGCAUUAGCUAGUUGGUAAGGGAACGACUUACCAAGGCAACGAUGCAUAGCCGACCUGAGAGGGUGAUCGGCCACACUGGAGCUGAGACACGGUCCAGACUCCUACGGGAGGCAGCAGUAGGGAAUCUUCCGCAAUGGGCGAAAGCCUGACGGAGCAACGCCGCGUGAGUGAUGAAGGUCUUCGGAUCGUAAAACUCUGUUAUUAGGGAAGAACAUAUGUGUAAGUAACUGUGCACAUCUUGACGGUACCUAAUCAGAAAGCCACGGCUAACUACGUG
rnacentral:rRNA from 1 species